rnacentral:rRNA from 1 species
GGCGGACGGGUGAGUAACACGUGGAUAACCUACCUAUAAGACUGGGAUAACUUCGGGAAACCGGAGCUAAUACCGGAUAAUAUUUUGAACCGCAUGGUUCAAAAGUGAAAGACGGUCUUGCUGUCACUUAUAGAUGGAUCCGCGCUGCAUUAGCUAGUUGGUAAGGUAACGGCUUACCAAGGCAACGAUGCAUAGCCGACCUGAGAGGGUGAUCGGCCACACUGGAACUGAGACACGGUCCAGACUCCUACGGGAGGCAGCAGUAGGGAAUCUUCCGCAAUGGGCGAAAGCCUGACGGAGCAACGCCGCGUGAGUGAUGAAGGUCUUCGGAUCGUAAAACUCUGUUAUUAGGGAAGAACAUAUGUGUAAGUAACUGUGCACAUCUUGACGGUACCUAAUCAGAAAGCCACGGCUAACUACGUGCCAGCAGCCGCGGUAAUACGUAGGUGGCAAGCGUUAUCCGGAAUUAUUGGGCGUAAGCGCGCGUAGGCGGUUUUUUAAGUCUGAUGUGAAAGCCCACGGCUCAACCGUGGAGGGUCAUUGGAAACUGGAAAACUUGAGUGCAGAAGAGGAAAGUGGAAUUCCAUGUGUAGCGGUGAAAUGCGCAGAGAUAUGGAGGAACACCAGUGGCGAAGGCGACUUUCUGGUCUGUAACUGACGCUGAUGUGCGAAAGCGUGGGGAUCAAACAGGAUUAGAUACCCUGGUAGUCCACGCCGUAAACGAUGAGUGCUAAGUGUUAGGGGGUUUCCGCCCCUUAGUGCUGCAGCUAACGCAUUAAGCACUCCGCCUGGGGAGUACGACCGCAAGGUUGAAACUCAAAGGAAUUGACGGGGACCCGCACAAGCGGUGGAGCAUGUGGUUUAAUUCGAAGCAACGCGAAGAACCUUACCAAAUCUUGACAUCCUUUGACAACUCUAGAGAUAGAGCUUUCCCCUUCGGGGGACAAAGUGACAGGUGGUGCAUGGUUGUCGUCAGCUCGUGUCGUGAGAUGUUGGGUUAAGUCCCGCAACGAGCGCAACCCUUAAGCUUAGUUGCCAUCAUUAAGUUGGGCACUCUAAGUUGACUGCCGGUGACAAACCGGAGGAAGGUGGGGAUGACGUCAAAUCAUCAUGCCCCUUAUGAUUUGGGCUACACACGUGCUACAAUGGACAAUACAAAGGGCAGCGAAACCGCGAGGUCAAGCAAAUCCCAUAAAGUUGUUCUCAGUUCGGAUUGUAGUCUGCAACUCGACUACAUGAAGCUGGAAUCGCUAGUAAUCGUAGAUCAGCAUGCUACGGUGAAUACGUUCCCGGGUCUUGUACACACCGCCCGUCACACCACGAGAGUUUGUAACACCCGAA